CUUGAAGUUGGCCCCUUCAAACAGGGAGAUUUUGUGCUCCUGGGCAUCCUGGGGAAAGAGAGGCCGGGUCAGAUCUCAGACUUACACCUGCCCUGCCCCGCCUGGCUGAUUCUCCAGCCCCAGCCGGAGAGCCACUCACCAUUUUGAUGGGCCGGAAGGACAUGAGCCGAUCACUGCGGUAGCUGCUCGACCAUGUGUUCCAGCGAGGGUACUCGCCCUUCUCCAGGAUGAACAUCUCCCCGCGGAAGUUGGACUGCUCAAAGGCGACCCAGCUGGAUACAAGAAGGACCAUGAGGCAGACAGGAGACAUAUGAGUUCUUAGGAAAAAAGAGACGGAUGAGGGGACACUGACACUAGCAUCUUCUCCCAG
rnacentral:lncRNA from 1 species